rnacentral:pre_miRNA from 2 species
GGGUGAGUCCGAUGUUGGCAUGGUUCAAUCAAAUUGAGUCGCAAGCCAUCGGGGCGCGAUGUGAUUGCUUAACUCGGUCUGAUUGAGCCGUGCCAAUAUCGCAAGCUCCUUG